ACUGUCAGUAGUUGAGUGACAACUCCUUGCACUAUUAGACGUACAGUCGGAUUAAGAUAAUUAGAAAUGAGAACAUCAACGUAUUCUUGAGUAAGUAAUUCAUUCUUGUCCUCCAAAUAGUAUAGAAAAAAUUUCAAGCCAAUAUGAUUUGUUUUUCCCUAUGCAACCAUAAUUUUGUUUUUUCUGCCAGUCCAUUUGUAGCUAAUAGCUCUUUGAAAUUUUGUAGAUAAAAUCUUUUUAAUUUCAGAAUGAAAUAUGAAUGUUUCCAUUCUCAAGCAAAUCCUUUGUACUUCAAAAUGUUGCACGCUUCAUAAAAUCAUAUAAUUAAUAUAAUUAUAUACAGUGUGUGAGAAAUAUAAGAGAAAAAUAUUAUUGAAUUGUUGUAACUACAUUAUUACAUUGUGGCCCUGGCCCUAUUUAUAGAUAAUACAUUCUAAUCCUUUUCCUAAUAGGACACUACAUUACAAUCCUUUUUCAAAUAGGAAUUUAUAUGCUAUUCCUAUUCGUACUCAUAUUCUAACACUCCUCCUCAAGAUGGUGCAUAGAAGACAUAUGUACUAAGCUUGUUACGGAUGUAACUAAUAUGAGAAUCGAUGAGGGACUUGGUGAAGAUAUCUGCAAGAAAAUUGAUAAGGACUGCUUUGGACGUCUGGGAGACCACAAUUGAAACGGAACAAAUUAAAAAAAAAAUGAUCCGAAAAGUAGUAAAUAUUGCCGUAAAGUCGAUGUGUCGCUGAAAAAUUGCCGAACACUGAUAUAAAAUAUACAGGUCAUCUCGAAAUCAAGAGACGAGUAGAUCUUGAACAUGAAAGUCACCAGAAACUUAGCCGAAACAUGCUCACACGCCGGAUUAUUAGAUUUGAUGGCUGAAAAGCGCCUACAAUCUGAGGGAAAAAAAGGAAUAUGGGUAGGGUCGGAAUGAUGAAACGACCUUACUGAAAAAGAGAAAUAUGUGUAAGGUCGGAAUGAUGGCACGACCCUAUUGAAAAAUAAAAAUUAUAUGAGUAGGGUCGGAAUGACGGCACGAUCCUACUGGAAAAGAGAAAUUAUAUGGGCAGAGUCAGAAUAAUGGCACGACCCUACUAAAAAAGAUCUGAGGAGUCACCGAAAAGACGUACGGAACUAUGUAAAUUAAAUCUGAAGAGUCACCAGAAAGAUGAAUGGUGCUAUGCAACUCAGAUAUGAGACAGUAGUUNNN
rnacentral:lncRNA from 1 species